AGCGGUAGAGCACUUCACUCGUAAUGAAGGGGUCCCGAGUUCAAAUCUCGGAUUCG
rnacentral:tRNA from 1 species